rnacentral:tRNA from 1 species
GCCUGGGUGGCUCAGUCGGUUAAGCAUCCGACUUCGGCUCAGGUCAUGAUCUCACGGUUUGUGGGUUCGAGCCCCGCAUCGGGCU